AUACGGAGGGGGUUAGCGUUGUUCGGAAUUACUGGGCGUAAAGCGCACGUAGGCGGAUUGGAAAGUUGGGGGUGAAAUCCCAGGGCUCAACCCUGGAACUGCCUCCAAAACUAACAGUCUAGAGUUCGUGAGAGGUGAGUGGAAUUCCAAGUGUAGAGGUGAAAUUCGUAGAUAUUUGGAGGAACACCAGUGGCGAAGGCGGCUCACUGGCUCGAUACUGACGCUGAGGUGCGAAAGCGUGGGGAGCAAACAGAAUUAGAAACCCGGGUAGUCC
rnacentral:rRNA from 1 species